UGGGAAACCUAACAUAAUCUUGAAUGUACC
rnacentral:piRNA from 1 species